GACGAACGCUGGCGGCGUGCUUAACACAUGCAAGUCGAACGGAAAGGCCUGCUUUCCCUUGUGGUUUGCGGGUACUCGAGUGGCGAACGGGUGAGUAACACGUGAUUGAUCUGCCCCCAACUUGGGUAUAAGCCUGGGAAACUGGUUCUAAUUCCCGAUAGGACUGCAGGGUGGUGGCUGUUGUGGAAAACGACCUUCUAGUGGGUGGGGAUGAGCUCGCGGCCUAGCAGGUUGUGGGUGGGGUAAUGGCCUACGAAGGCGGCUACGGGUAGCCGGCCGGAGAGGGUGGACAGCGAAAUUGGGACUGAGAUCAGGCCCAGACUGGUGCGGGAGGCGGGGGUGGGGGAUAUAGGGCAGUGGGCGGGAUGCUGAUGCAGCGAGGCUGCGAGGGGGGUGACGGGGUUCGGGUUGUAAACUCCUUUCGACGGAGAGGAAGACGCCUGGUUGGAAGGGUAGUGACGGUAGUGGUAGAAGAAGCACCGGCUAACUCCGUG
rnacentral:rRNA from 1 species